rnacentral:tRNA from 1 species
GCCUGAGUGGCUCAGUCGGUCAAAGCGUCCGACUUCGGUUCAGGUCAUGAUCUCGCCGCUUGUGAGUUCGAGCCCCGCAUCAGGCU